GUGCCAGCCGCCGCGGUAAUACGUAGGGUGCAAGCGUUAAUCGGAAUUACUGGGCGUAAAGCGUGCGCAGGCGGUUUUGUAAGUCUGUCGUGAAAGCCCCGGGCUCAACCUGGGAAUUGCGAUGGAGACUGCAAGGCUUGAAUCUGGCAGAGGGGGGUAGAAUUCCACGUGUAGCAGUGAAAUGCGUAGAGAUGUGGAGGAACACCGAUGGCGAAGGCAGCCCCCUGGGUCAAGAUUGACGCUCAUGCACGAAAGCGUGGGGAGCA
rnacentral:rRNA from 1 species